rnacentral:rRNA from 1 species
UACGGAAGGCAGCAGUGGGGAAUAUUGCACAAUGGGCGCAAGCCUGAUGCAGCCAUGCCGCGUGUAUGAAGAAGGCCUUCGGGUUGUAAAGUACUUUCAGUCGUGAGGAAGGUGUUAAGGUUAAUAACCUUAGCAAUUGACGUUAGCGACAGAAGAAGCACCGGCUAACUCCGUGCCAGCAGCCGCGGUAAUACGGAGGGUGCGAGCGUUAAUCGGAAUUACUGGGCGUAAAGGGCACGCAGGCGGUUAAUUAAGUUGGAUGUGAAAUCCCCGGGCUUAACCUGGGAAUGGCAUUCAAGACUGGUUAGCUAGAGUCUUGUAGAGGGGGUAGAAUUCCGAUGUGUAGCGGUGAAAUGCGUAGAGAUGUGGAGGAAUACCGGUGGCGAAGGCGGCCCCUGGACAAAGACUGACGCUCAUGUGCGAAAGCGUGGGGAGCAGCAGGGAUUAGAUA